rnacentral:rRNA from 1 species
AACCUACCUAUCAGAACGGGGAAGUAACCCGGCGAAAGUCGGACUAAUAACCGCAUAAAACAGGGGCACCGCAUGGUGAUAUUUGUUAAAGAAAUUCGCUGAUAGAUGGGCAUGCGUUCCAUUAGGUAGUUGGUGAGGUAACGGCUCACCAAGCCGACGAUGGAUAGGGGAACUGAGAGGUUGGUCCCCCCACACUGGUACUGAGACACGGACCAGACUCCUACGGGAGGCAGCAGUGAGGAAUAUUGGUCAAUGGGCGGGAGCCUGAACCAGCCAAGUCGCCGUGAAGGAAGAAGGAUCUAUGGUUCGUAAACUUCUUUUGCAGGGGAAUAAAGUGCAGGACGUGUCCUGUUUUGUAUGUACCCUGAGAAUAAGGAUCGGCUAACUCCGUGCCAGCCGCGGC